rnacentral:rRNA from 1 species
GAAUUUUGGACAAUGGGGGCAACCCUGAUCCAGCCAUCCCGCGUGUGCGAUGAAGGCCUUCGGGUUGUAAAGCACUUUUGGCAGGGAAGAAAAGGCUCUGGCUAAUACCUGGAGCUGCUGACGGUACCUGCAGAAUACACACCGGCUAACUCAGUGCCGGCAGCCGCGGUAAUACGGAGGGUGCAAGCGUUAAUCGGAAUUACUGAGGGUAAAGCGUGCGCAGGCGGUUCGGCAAGAAGGAUGUGAAAUCCCAGGGAUUAACCUUGGAACUGCAUUCUUAACUGCCGGGCUAGAGUAUGUCAGAGGGGGGUAGAAUUCCGCGUGUAGCAGUGAAAUGCGUAGAGAUGCGGAGGAAUACCGAUGGCGAAGGCAGCCCCCUGGGAUAAUACUGACGCUCAUGCACGAAAGCGUGGGGAGCAAAC